GGAUCCAUCAAGCUUGCUUGGUGGUGAGAGUGGCGAACGGGUGAGUAAUGCGUGACCGACCUGCCCCAUGCACCGGAAUAGCUCCUGGAAACGGGUGGUAAUGCCGGAUGCUCCAUCACACUGCAUGGUGUGUUGGGAAAGCCUUUGCGGCAUGGGAUGGGGUCGCGUCCUAUCAGCUUGAUGGCGGGGUAACGGCCCACCAUGGCUUCGACGGGUAGCCGGCCUGAGAGGGCGACCGGCCACAUUGGGACUGAGAUACGGCCCAGACUCCUACGGGAGGCAGCAGUGGGGAAUAUUGCACAAUGGGCGCAAGCCUGAUGCAGCGACGCCGCGUGAGGGAUGGAGGCCUUCGGGUUGUAAACCUCUUUUGUUAGGGAGCAAGGCAUUUUGUGUUGAGUGUACCUUUCGAAUAAGCACCGGCUAACUACGUGCCAGCAGCCGCGGUAAUACGUAGGGUGCAAGCGUUAUCCGGAAUUAUUGGGCGUAAAGGGCUCGUAGGCGGUUCGUCGCGUCCGGUGUGAAAGUCCAUCGCUUAACGGUGGAUCCGCGCCGGGUACGGGCGGGCUUGAGUGCGGUAGGGGAGACUGGAAUUCCCGGUGUAACGGUGGAAUGUGUAGAUAUCGGGAAGAACACCAAUGGCGAAGGCAGGUCUCUGGGCCGUUA
rnacentral:rRNA from 1 species